UACGAAGGGGGCUAGCGUUGUUCGGAUUUACUGGGCGUAAAGCGCACGUAGGCGGAUCUUUUAGUCAGGGGUGAAAUCCCGAGGCUCAACCUCGGAACUGCCUUUGAUACUGGGGAUCUUGAGUUCGGGAGAGGUGAGUGGAACUGCGAGUGUAGAGGUGAAAUUCGUAGAUAUUCGCAAGAACACCAGUGGCGAAGGCGGCUCACUGGCCCGAUACUGACGCUGAGGCACGAAAGCGUGGGGAGCAAACAGG
rnacentral:rRNA from 1 species